rnacentral:tRNA from 1 species
GUCUGGGUGGUGUUGUUGUUAUCACACUAGUCUCACACACUAGGAGGUCCCAGUUCAAACCUGGGUUUUAGACA